AGUAGGGUGGUAUAUUCUCUUUAAGUAUUUGGUGUGAUAUUCUCUUUAAGUAUUUUAUCCAGUUCUAUUGUCCUGUAUAUCCAGUAAGUUUUGUUUUUCCAGUUGGUAUAAUUAGUUUAGUUUAUAGUUUAAACAUGUUAUUUUAACAUGGUGAGUAGUAUUCUGUUACUUAGAUACUGUCCUAACAUCAUGUUUCACCUUUAGUCACUUUUUCUUAGAUCUCCAUCUUGAAGGCAACAAUUUCUUUCCACAGCACUGCAUUUACUAAUUCGGUGUUUCUCUCUUUUGUACCUGUAUAUGGUUUCCUUAUACAUUAUUAGUUCUAAUUCUUCAUUUCUUAAGAGCACCUUUAUCAGGUGCUCUUCUUCUUGUCUUCUACUUGUUCUUCUUUCUGUAAAUAAUUGGCUGUUUUGUUCCUGUGUAUUGUAAAUAAACUGUAUAGCUGUGUUCCUGUCUUUGUCUCUUUUCGUUCAACCCGCGACCUGGAAAGGGGAUAGUCCGUUGUCCAUCGAUCCUGCUACAAAAUGGCGCCCAACGUGAUUUAAAGAGACAUUGUUCCAGUUUUGUGCUUUGUGAUCUGUGUUUUGUGUUUGUGUAUUUAUUGGAUUUUAUUUCGCGGGAAUCAGCGCUGUAAUCUAUCUCCAUCUUGAAGGCAACAAUUUCUUUCCACAGCACUGCAUUUACUAAUUCGGUGUUUCUCUCUUUUGUACCUGUAUAUGGUUUCCUUAUACAUUAUUAGUUCUAAUUCUUCAUUUCUUAAGAGCACCUUUAUCAGGUGCUCUUCUUCUUGUCUUCUACUUGUUCUUCUUUCUGUAAAUAAUUGGCUGUUUUGUUCCUGUGUAUUGUAAAUAAACUGUAUAGCUGUGUUCCUGUCUUUGUCUCUUUUCGUUCAACCCGCGACCUGGAAAGGGGAUAGUCCGUUGUCCAUCGAU